UGGGGAAUUUUUCGCAAUGGGCGCAAGCCUGAUCCAGCCAUACCGCGUGAGUGACGAAGGUCUUCGGAUUGUAAAGCUCUUUUGGCGGGGACGAUAAUGACGGUACCCGCAGAAUAAGCCCCGGCUAACUUCGUGCCAGCAGCCGCGGUAAUACGAAGGGGGCUAGCGUUGUUCGGAAUUACUGGGCGUAAAGCGCACGUAGGCGGACUCUUAAGUCAGGGGUGAAAUCCCGGGGCUCAACCUCGGAACUGCCCUUGAUACUGUGAGUCUCGAGACCGGAAGAGGUGAGUGGAAUUCCUAGUGUAGAGGUGAAAUUCGUAGAUAUUAGGAAGAACACCAGUGGCGAAGGCGGCUCACUGGUCCGGUUCUGACGCUGAGGUGCGAAAGCGUGGGGAGCAAACAGGAUUAGAUACCCAAGUAGUCCCUGAGCGGGCUGGCAAGGCGCAU
rnacentral:rRNA from 1 species